rfam:Capsicum annuum cultivar Zunla-1 chromosome 1, whole genome shotgun sequence
UGACUUACCUGGAUGGGGUCAAUGGGCGAUCAAGAAAACCUAUGGCCUAGGCUGGUGACCUCCAUUACACUUGGGAGGGUGCCAAACUAAGGUCGGCUCUAGUGGUCGAGCCUACGUCACAAUUUAUGAUAGUGGGAGCCUGCGUUCUCGCAGCCCCUAU